rnacentral:rRNA from 1 species
GCUGGCAGCUAGCUACUCCGGUCGCCCACUGAAACUAAGCAGGGCUGCGCCUGGUCAGUACCUGGAUGGGAGACCACAUGGGAAAGGUAGGUUGCUGCCAGAA